rnacentral:rRNA from 1 species
GUGUAAGUAUAAAUAAUUUUACUUUGAAACUGCGAAUGGCUCAUUAUAUCAGUUAUAGUUUAUUAGAAAUAUUUUACUACUUGGAUAACCGUAGUAAUUCUAGGGCUAAUACAUGAGUAAAACYUCAACUUCGGAAGAGGUGUGUUUAUUAGUAUGAAAACCAUAUAUCUUCGGAUAUAAUAGUGAGUAAUAAUAACCUUUCAUAUCGUAUGUCGUAAGAUAACGAUAGUUCUUUCAAGUUUCUSCCCUAUCAGCUUUCGAUGGUAGUAUAUGGGACUACCAUGGCAGUAACGGGUAACGAAGAAUUUGGGUUCGAUUUCGGAGAGGGAGCCUGAGAGAUGGCUACCACAUCCAAGGAAGGCAGCAGGCGCGUAAAUUACCCAAUCCUGACAUAGGGAGGUAGUGACAAUAAAUCACAAUGCGGAACUUUUAGUUUUGCAAUUGGAUUGAGAACAAUGUACAAAUGUUAUCGAUAAACAAUGGAGGGCAAGUCUGGUGCCAGCAGC